AAAAGGACUAUGUGAAACACAAAGUGGCAAAGAAGUGGAAAGAAAUUUAAAUUUAUACUAGCAGUUCAGCUUUGCCUGA
ensembl:misc_RNA